rnacentral:rRNA from 1 species
GACGAACGCUGGCGGCGUGCUUAACACAUGCAAGUCGAACGGAAAGGCCCUGCUUUUGUGCUGUGCCCGAGUGGCAAUCGGGUGAGUAACACGAGAGUAACCUGCCCUUGACUUUGGGAUAACUUCACGAAGCUGGAGCUACUACCGGAUAGGAGCUCCUCCUGCAUGGUGGGGGUUGGAACGUUUCGGCGGUUGGGGAUGGACUGGCGGAUUAUCAGCUUGUUGGUGGGGUAGUGGCUUACCAAGGCUUUGACGGGUAGGCCGCCUGGGAGGGUGACCGGCCCCCUUACGCCUGAGAUACGGCGCAGUCUCGAAUGGGAGGCAGCGGGGGGGAAUAUUACACAGCGGGAGGGAGUGUGAUGCAGCGACGCCGCGUGCGGGAAGACGGCCUGCGGGUUGUAAACCGCAUCAGCCUGUGACGAAGCGGGAGUGACGGUAACGGGUGAAGAAGCACCGGCUAACUACGUG